rnacentral:rRNA from 1 species
GUGGGGAAUAUUGGACAAUGGGCGAAAGCCUGAUCCAGCCAUGCCGCGUGUGUGAAGAAGGUCUUCGGAUUGUAAAGCACUUUAAGUUGGGAGGAAGGGCAGUAAGUUAAUACCUUGCUGUUUUGACGUUACCGACAGAAUAAGCACCGGCUAACUUCGUGCCAGCAGCCGCGGUAAUACGAAGGGUGCAAGCGUUAAUCGGAAUUACUGGGCGUAAAGCGCGCGUAGGUGGUUUUGUAAGUUGGAGGUGAAAUCCCCGGGCUCAACCUGGGGACGUCCUACAAAACUGCAGGACUAGAGUACGGUAGAGGGUAGGGGAAUUUCCUGUGUAGCGGUGAAAUGCGUAGAUAUAGGAAGGAACACCAGUGGCGAAGGCGACUACCUGGACUGAUACUGACACUGAGGUGCGAAAGCGUGGGGAGCAAACAGGAUUAGAUACCCGAGUAGUCC